UGAUUACGACCCCGUUGGAGCUUUCUCUCCGAGUCGACCAUUACCAAUCUCUCUCUCUCUCUCUCUCUCUCUCUCUCUCUCUCUCUCGAUCAUAGGUUUUAGUCUCCAUGUCUCGGAGCUUCCAUUACUCUAUUCGUCUUCCUCUCUGCGUUCAAAUUUCAGUGAGCGAACAAUGGCGGCUAUGGCGAACGACUUUCAGGAUCGCCGGAAUUUGAAGCUCGAUAACCUUCACGACAUCAUCUACCUCAAGCCGUUUGCCACCCCAACCUCUUCACCAUAAUCGACCUGUUCUUUCACUUCUCACCCGCGCACGACCGGAUCUGUUUUUCGAUCGGCAACCGGUGCCGGAAUCUCAUCUUCAAUCCAGAGAAAGAGAUUGGAGACUUACAUCAUUGCAAUUGCUGAUAAGUUGGCCUAGGAAUAUUUCUUUGUUGCUGUAAAGGUAUUGAUGAUCAAGCGAACAAGUUGGUUGAUAUCUACGUGGAAUGCGAAUGUCUCAGCAUCACCAAUGUAAACAUUAGCUGUUGUAGAUAGUGCUUGUGAGAUUAGAGAGCCAAAUUGCAGAGCUUCAAAUGUGGCUUAUCUAGGGGUGCUGAUUGGCAUCAAUGAUAGAUGGCGAAAUUGGAAAUGAUAAUUUUGACAUCAAUUGAAGCAUUGGAAGUGAACUCUGAUGCGACGACAUUUAUUUCAAUGCUUAGUUUAUAAUUGUGCUGAUUCACAUUGGCUAGCAAUAGAAGGUGUUCAACCUGCAAUUCCAGAAAAUGCACCUGUAGAAGUACUUGCAGCUCCUUCUGAUGGCAAAAAGUAUGAGCAAAAGGAUGAUGGACUUCCUGUUGAGCUUAAAUUACCGGUUAAGCAUGUAUUGUCUAGAGAGCUUCAGCUAUAUUUUGACAAAAAUCACUGAGCUUGUCGUGAGUAGGUCCGAUGUUAUUCUUCUUAAAAAAGCACUAUUGAGCUUGGCGACUGAUUCGGGACUUCAUCCAUUAGUUCCUUAUUAAUUUCACAUGCUUUAUAGCUGAUGAGGUGGUAAAUCUUGGCAUAUUGCUGAUAGCCAGAGGAUCUUAGAUGGCCAUUUGGUAAUAGCUGUUUUAAUUAAUGUCAGGUUUCUCGUGGUUUGAGUGAUUUUCCACUUCUGUUUGCUCUGAUGCGAGUUGUUCAUAGCCUUCUCCAGAAUACUCACAUACACAUUGAACUUAUGCAUAGUGGUGGUAAAUUGCAGUUAAUCUAAAUCAUGAUGAAGCUGGAAGGAAAGCCAAAAGUGACCAAAGGGAGUGUUGAACAUGAAAAGGGCGUCACAGCAUUCCAGUUUCAGAGCCAUAACCACUUUGCAAACGCAUCUGUUGCAAGUGGAAUCUGAAGACGCUGAACCAAAAAUUUUCUAAUUACAAUAGCUUGGAUCUUUGCAAAUAUAGAGCUCAUAUAACCAAGACAUUUGCGGAAUUUAGGCAAUGAUGGAUCUCUACAAAUUUAGAGUUUUAGAAAUUUGUUUAGGGCUUAGGAUGCAAGUCACUGACCAAUUGUAAACUCCAGCUUAUUGAAUCAAUUAGUUUUUUGUAUUUUUUUUAUAAUGUCACUGUUAUGUUUAGUUUUCCUUAAUGAAAUAUUAAUUUUAUAGAUC